AAAGCAGGUUAUAAGUAUUGCUCUUCAUUUUGUGGAAGGAUUGCUACUACCAUGCUAAAGAGCAGACAUGUUGAUGGCCUCUGAUUUUACCUUUAUGAGAGUAAAAGUAACAGCUUGAUAAGGAUAGUC